GAGGGGGAUAACGGUUGGAAACGACCGCCCUUACCCCAUAUGCCGAAAGGUGAAAUGAAUUUCGCCUGAGGACGAGCCCGCGUCUGAUUAGCUUGUUGGUAAGGUAAAGGCUUACCAAGGCUUCGAUCAGUAGCUGGUCUGAGAGGAUGAUCAGCCACACUGGGACUGAGACACGGCCCAGACUCCUACGGGAGGCAGCAGUGGGGAAUUUUCCGCAAUGGGCGAAAGCCUGACGGAGCAACGCCGCGUGAGGGACGAAGGCCUCUGGGCUGUAAACCUCUUUUCUCAAGGAAGAAGAUAUGACGGUACUUGAGGAAUAAGCCACGGCUAAUUCCGUGCCAGCAGCCGCGGUAAUACGGGAGUGGUAAGCGUUAUCCGGAAUUAUUG
rnacentral:rRNA from 1 species